ensembl:lncRNA
UCAACUGUAAGGACUAUUAUUUAUGCCUUUUGUUCAUGUUUCUAUAAUAAUAUUGAUAUUUUCAAAUUUAUAUUGCCGAUACGUAUAUUUUUAAUCUCCUAUCUGUAAAACGUCUCAUCUUGCAAGUGGCUUUGGGGCCCUGUAUUCUAUGUUAUGUUAUGGGCUUUAGAACUUUAAGCUGUAGGUCUUUCUGGUCCUGGAACCCGUAUUUCUGGCUCCACGUGACAUAUACAUUGCCUAAUUCAUUUUUUUUUUUUUACAGAAAUCUUCAGAUUCCAUCCAAUUUGGUCACUUGAUAGAUGUUUCCAUCUCUUUGGGUCACAAGAUCUGUAAGUCUACUUCCACUUGGUUUCUUAAGGCCAUUGGAUUUGAUGAAACCUCAAGAUAGGCCAAAAUGCAGUGUGUAUAUAUUAGUUAGCUGGUGUUGCCAUAAUAAAUACCAGAAACCGAGUGGUUUAAACAACAGAAAGUGCCCGACAAUCUCAAUACUGGGCAUAUACCCUGCUGCUGCUGCUGCUGCUGCUAAGUUGCUUCAGUCGUGUCCAACUCUGCGCAACCCCAUAGACGGCAGCCCAACAGGCUCCCCCAUCCCUGGGAUUCUCCAGGCAAGAACACUGGAGUGGGUUGCCAUUUCCUUCUCCAAUGCAUGAAAGUGAAAAGUGAAAGUGAAGUCACUCAGUCAUGUCCAACUCUGUUCGACCCCAUGGACUGCAGCCUACCAGGCUCUUCCAUCCAUGGGAUUUUCCAGGCAAGAGUACUGGAGUGGGGUGCCAUAUACCCUGAGAAAACCAUAAUUCAAAAGGACAUAUGGACCCCGAUGCUCAAUGCCAGGACAUGGAAACAACCAAGAUGUCCAUCAACAAAUGAAUGGAUAAAGAGAUGUGUUACAUAUAUACAAAGGAAUAUUACUCAGCCACAGAAGGGAAUGAAUUUGAGUCAGUUGAACUGAGGUGGAUGAACCUAGAGCCAGUUAUACAGAGUUCAGUUCAGUUCAGUUCAGUUGCUCAGUUGUAUCCAACUCUUUUGCAACCCCAUGGACUGCAGCACGCCAGGCUUCCCUGUCCAUCACCAACUCCCAGAGUUUGCUCAAACUCAUGUCCAUUGAGUCAGUGAUGCCAUCCAACCAUCUCAUCUUCGGUUGUCCCCUUCUCCUGCCUUCAAUCUUUCCCAGCAUCAGGAUCUUUUCCAGUGAGUCAGUUCUUCGCAUCAGGUAGCCAAAGAAUUGGAGUUUCAGCUUCAGCAUCAGUUCUUCCAAUGAAUAUUCAGGACUGAUUUCCUUUAAGAUGGACUGGUUGAAUCUCCUUGCAGUCCAUAUACUGCAUAUACUCCUUGCAGUUAUACAGAAUAAAAUAAGUCAAAAAGAGAAAAACA